UACGUAGGUGGCAAGCGUUGUCCGGAUUUACUGGGCGUAAAGGGCGUGCAGGCGGUCUGUUAAGUUCAGGGUGAAAGCUCCCGGCUCAACUGGGAGAGGUCCUUGGAUACUGGCAGACUCGAGGGAGGUAGAGGAGAGUGGAAUUCCCGGUGUAGUGGUGAUAUGCGUAGAUAUCGGGAGGAACACCAGUGGCGAAGGCGACUACCUGGCCUGUUCUUGACGCUGAGGCGCGAAAGCUAGGGGAGCAAACGGG
rnacentral:rRNA from 1 species